rnacentral:rRNA from 1 species
AAUGAACGCUGGUGGCAGGACUAACACAUGCAAGUCGAACGGAUCCUUCGGGUUUAGUGGCGGACGGGUGAGUAACGCGCGGGAACAUACACUUUGGUACGGAAUAGCCAAGGGAAACUGGGAGAAAUACCGUAUGUGGACGAUAGACGAAAGAUUGAUCGCCAAAGGAUUGGCCCGCGUUGGAUUAGGUAGUUGGUGGGGUAAUGGCCUACCAAGCCGACGAUCACUAGCUGGUUUGAGAGGGUGAACCGACCCACUGGGACUGAGACACGGACCAGACGCCUACGGGAGGCAGCAGUGGGGAAUCUUAGACAAUGGGAAUAACCCUGAUCUAGCCAUGCCGCGUGAUCGAUGAAGGCCUUAGGGUUGUAAAGAUCUUUCAGGUGGGAAGAUAAUGACUGUACCACCAGAAGAAGCCCCGGCUAACUCCGUGCCAGCCGCCGCCGUAACAC